UACGUAGGGUGCAAACAUUAUCCGGAUUUAUUGGGCGUAAAGAGCUCGUAGGUGGUUUGGAAAGUUGGAUAUGAAAUAUUCCGGCUCAACCGGAAAAACGUAUCCAAAACUACCAUACUUGAGGUGUGCAGGGGCGGAUGGAACUUACGGUGUAGCAGUGAUAUGCGUAGAUAUCGUAAGGAACGCCAAUGGUGAAGACAGUCCGCUGGGCAUCACCUGACACUGAGGAGCGAAAGCGUGGGUAGCGAACGGG
rnacentral:rRNA from 1 species